AUUCCAGCUCCAAUAGCGUAUAUUAAAGUUGUUGCGGUUAAAAAGCUCGUAGUUGGAUCUCGGUUUCACUCAGGCGGUACACCUUGCGGUGUUCACUGUCUGGGCGGACGUUUCUGUUGGUUCGCUGUUGGUUCUCUUAAUCGAGUGCCAAUUGGUGGCCAGCACGUUUACUUUGAAAAAAUUGGAGUGCUCAAAGCAGGCGUUACAGCCUGAACAUUAGUGCAUGGAAUAAUGGAAUAGGAUCUCGAUUCUAUUUCGUUGGCUUUCGGAGUCGAGGUAAUGAUUAAUAGGGACAGACGGGGGCAUUCGUACUGCGACGUUAGAGGUGAAAUUCUUGGAUCGUCGCAAGACGAACUACUGCGAAAGCAUUUGCCAAGAAUGUUUUCAUUAAUCAAGAACGAAAGUUAGAGGUUCGAAGGCGAUCAGAUACCGCCCUAGUUCUAACCAUAAACGAUGCCAACCGGCGAUCCGUCGUCGUUAAUUGAAUGACUCGACGGGCAGCCUCCGGGAAACCAGAGUGUUUGGGUUCCGGGGGAAGUAUGGUUGCAAAGCUGAAACUUAAAGGAAUUGACGGAAGGGCACCACCAGCAGUGGAGCCUGCGGCUUAAUUUGACCCAACACGGGAAAUCUCACCAGGCCCGGACACCGGAAGGAUUGACAGAUUGAGAGCUCUUUCUUGAUUCGGUGGGUGGUGGUGCAUGGCCGUUCUUAGUUGGUGGAGCGAUUUGUCUGGUUAAUUCCGAUAACGAACGAGACUCUGGCCUACUAACUAGAAGGGUCGUUCUUUACGAGCGGCCCUCUGCUUCUUAGAGGGACGGGCGGCGUUUAGCCGCACGAGAAUGAGCAAUAACAGGUCUGUGAUGCCCUUAGAUGUUCUGGGCUGCACGCGCGCUACACUGAAGGAAUCAGCAUGUUCUCCCCUCCCUGAAAAGGGCGGGUAACCCGUUGAAACUCCUUCGUGAUGGGGAUUGGAGAUUGUAAUUAUUCUCCAUGAACGAGGAAUUCCCAGUAGGCGCGAGUCAUCAGCUUGCGUCGAUUACGUCCCUGCCCUUUGUACACACCGCCCGUCGCUACUACCGAUCGAGUGAUUUAGUGAGGACUUCGGACUGGUCUCCAAGUUGGCUUCGGUCAGCUCGGAGUUCCGGAAAGAUGCCCAAACUUGAUCACUUAGAGGAAGUAAAAGUCGUAACAAGGUUUCCGUAGGUGAACCUGCGGAAG
rnacentral:rRNA from 1 species